rnacentral:rRNA from 1 species
AGAGUUUGAUCCUGGCUCAGGAUGAACGCUGGCGGCGUGCUUAACACAUGCAAGUCGAACGAAGCACUUGAAUGGAAUUCUUCGGAAGGAAGCUCAAGUGACUGAGUGGCGGACGGGUGAGUAACGCGUGGGUAACCUGCCUCAUACAGGGGGAUAACAGUUAGAAAUGACUGCUAAUACCGCAUAAGCACACGUGAUCGCAUGAUCGAGUGUGAAAAACUCCGGUGGUAUGAGAUGGACCCGCGUCUGAUUAGCUAGUUGGUGGGGUAACGGCCCACCAAGGCGACGAUCAGUAGCCGGCCUGAGAGGGUGAACGGCCACAUUGGGACUGAGACACGGCCCAAACUCCUACGGGAGGCAGCAGUGGGGAAUAUUGCACAAUGGGGGAAACCCUGAUGCAGCGACGCCGCGUGAAGGAUGAAGUAUUUCGGUAUGUAAACUUCUAUCAGCAGGGAAGAAAAUGACGGUACCUGACUAAGAAGCCCCGGCUAACUACGUGCCAGCAGCCGCGGUAAUACGUAGGGGGCAAGCGUUAUCCGGAUUUACUGGGUGUAAAGGGAGCGUAGACGGCAGUGCAAGUCUGAAGUGAAAGCCCGGGGCUCAACCCCGGGACUGCUUUGGAAACUGUGCAGCUAGAGUGUCGGAGAGGCAAGCGGAAUUCCUAGUGUAGCGGUGAAAUGCGUAGAUAUUAGGAGGAACACCAGUGGCGAAGGCGGCUUGCUGGACGAUGACUGACGUUGAGGCUCGAAAGCGUGGGGAGCAAACAGGAUUAGAUACCCUGGUAGUCCACGCCGUAAACG